CAACUGGGCAGAGGGAUCCUCCUCCUGUCACCAGUGCCUGGAUGUCCAACUGCUGGCCCAGAUGUGCAACUGAACUGCUGCUUCCUGAGGCUUCCAUCUGUCAAGCAAGCAUGUGCAUGAUUUUUUCUUCACACUUUCAAGCAGGUAAAAGUAUCAGCUACAAUUAAAAAGGUUUCUGCACCCACGUAGUUUUGAAAGUGAUGCCUACUGGCAGCACCCAUCUCCUUCCGGGUAGGAGAAAGAGGAAUGGGAACACAAAAGGCUGAUGUAUCUGCAGGUCUAAUUUGAGCAGGCUACCUCAGAAAUAAGAUACUUUACAAGCUGGGUGCUGUCUUUCAAGAAAACCAGGCUCCAACAUUGCCAUUUCUUUGUGACUUAGCAGUAAGAAACUCUCAGAGGAGCACCCAGAGAAGCAACCUGACUGUUCUCCAGCAGAGAUAACACAUGCUAAUGGAGCAGAGCUCUCAGUGAAAUGCUGAAAGCAGGUUGUAUCCCCUGCUUUUAUGGAAGAUACCUUUCAAUCACACAGCUUCCUUUCACGCUGCUUUAUCUGCGGCAGUCAACUAAAAUCGUGCAAAAUGGAUUAGAAGAAUGGAGUGGCACAGACACAAACUGAGAAGGAACUUUUCAAGUUCUUUAGCAGGAAAUGGAAGACAGAAACUGUAAAUGGCACGCUGGAUUUAAGACUUCAAAGUCAAUUAUGAACAAUGAAUGCACUUGGUAAAUGGAGAAGACUUCUCCUCUUGAUGUCAGGAAAGUGAAGCUCAGGAAUGCAAAGAUCAGUAAAAUCAAGCCAGAAACACAGAUCUGACAAACAGUCUUGUGAAACCUGGAAGAGAAGUGGAAACUCUGAUAGUAUAGAAAUAAUAGCACAUAUACAUAUAUGUUUCAUUACACAAGUAAGGUCAUUAUUCAUGUGAAGUAUAUGAAAAAUGGAAACUAGCAUGCAGCCUAAAUUGGAAAUUAGAAACAAUAAAUGAUGGAAAGGAAACUAUUAGAAUUCAAAUGAACCAGACUCACAGAUGUGUAAUUGCUUUCUUCCCAGCAGAUAGGCAGGAAGACUAUCACCAAGCAAGUCAGAACUGUGAGCUGUCUGCAGGCAAAGGCCUAUUUAUUAUGUCAGGAUAACUAGAAACCAGAAUGUCAGUGAAAACCUCUAGAGCCAGUUAAAAAUAAAUGAAUAAACAGGACUAACCAAGGUGCAGAGUCCAGAGAAGGAUGAUGAGGCUGGUGGGGGGUCAUGAACACAAGCUCUCUGAGAAGCGACUGAGGGAGCUGGGGCUCUUCAGCCUGGGAAGAGGAGGCUGAGGGGAGACCUCUUUGCUCUCUAUAACUCCCUGAAAAGAGGUUAAAAUGAGUUGGGGGCAGGCUCUUUUCCCAAGUAACAAGGGAUAGAACAAGAGGAAAUGGCCUCAGGUUGCACUGGGGAAGGUUUAGAUUGGAUAUCAGGAAAAUGCCUUUAGUGAAAGGGUCACUGGGCACUGGCACAGGCUGCCCGAGGAAGUGAUGGAAUCACUGUCCCUGGAGGUGUUUAAAAGACAUUUGGAUGAGGUGCUCAGAGACAUGAUAUGCUUGGAGGUCCUUUCCUGCCUGCAUGAUUACAAAAAAGACCAGGCUGGAUGUGGUCCUGUGGAAGGUGUCCCUACCCUCUGAAGCCAGCAGGGACAUCCUCAACCAGAUCAGAGCCCUGUCAAGCCUCACCUUGAAUAUCUCCAGGAAUGGGGCCCCAGCCACCUCCCUGGGCAGCCUGUUCCACUACCCUUAAGGUAAAGAACUUGUUCCUAAGAUCCUUAUCUCCUCUCGUUUGAACCCAUUGCCCCUCAUCCUGUCACUGCAGGCCUUUGUAAACAGUCUCUCUCCAUCCUUCCUGUCUGCCCCCUUCAGGUACUGGAAGGCCGCUAUUAAGUCUACUUAAAACCUUCUCCUCUCCAGGCUGAACAACCAAUAUCACAGCAUCCCAUAUCUCAUUCCAUCCAGCCAAUCCCCUCAAACUGCUUCACACUUGUAUUUAAAAACAUAAUAAAUCUAAUUAGAAUAUA